rnacentral:rRNA from 1 species
GACGAACGCUGGCGGCGUGCCUAAUACAUGCAAGUAGAACGCUGAAGAGAGGAGCUUGCUCUUCUUGGAUGAGUUGCGAACGGGUGAGUAACGCGUAGGUAACCUGCCUUGUAGCGGGGGAUAACUAUUGGAAACGAUAGCUAAUACCGCAUAACAAUGGAUGACACAUGUCAUUUAUUUGAAAGGGGCAAUUGUUCCACUACAAGAUGGACCUGCGUUGUAUUAGCUAGUAGGUGAGGUAAUGGCUCACCUAGGCGACGAUACAUAGCCGACCUGAGAGGGUGAUCGGCCACACUGGGACUGAGACACGGCCCAGACUCCUACGGGAGGCAGCAGUAGGGAAUCUUCGGCAAUGGGGGCAACCCUGACCGAGCAACGCCGCGUGAGUGAAGAAGGUUUUCGGAUCGUAAAGCCCUGUUGUAAGUCAAGAACGGGUGUGAGAGUGGAAAGUUCACACUGUGACGGUAGCUUACCAGAAAGGGACGGCUAACUACGUG